rnacentral:rRNA from 1 species
AUUGAACGCUGGCGGCAGGCCUAACACAUGCAAGUCGAGCGAGCGGCGGACGGGUGAGUAAUGUCUGGGAAACUGCCUGAUGGAGGGGGAUAACUACUGGCAACGGUAGCUAAUACCGCAUACCAUCAGAUGUGCCCAGAUGGGAUUAGCUAGUAGGUGGGGUAACGGCUCACCUAGGCGACGAUCCCUAGCUGUUCUGAGAGGAUGAUCAGCCACAGUGGGACUGAGACACGGUCCAGACUCCUACGUGAUGCAGCAGUGGGGAAUAUUGAACAAUGGGCGCAAGCCUGAUGCUGCCAUGCCGCGUGUGUGAAGAAGGCCUUCGGGUUGUAAAGCACUUUCAGCGGGGAGGCGUUACCCGCAGAAGAAGCACCGGCUAACUCCGUGCCAGCAGCCGCGGUAAUAC